rnacentral:snRNA from 1 species
AUGCUUGCUUUGGCAGCACAUGUACUAAAAUUGGAAUGAGACAGAGAUUAGCAUGGCCCCUGCCAAAAAUGACAUGUAAAUUCAAGAGGCAUUUCAUAUAUUU